rnacentral:rRNA from 1 species
CCUACGGGUGGCUGCAGUGGGGAAUAUUGCACAAUGGGGGAAACACUGAUGCAGCGAAGCCGCGUGAGUGAAGAAGGUUUUCGGUAUGUAAAGCUCUAUUAGUCAGGAAGAAAAUUACUGCACGUGAUUAAGAUGCACCGGCUAACUACGUUCCAGCAGCCUUGGUAAUACGGAGGGGGCAAGCGUUAUCCGGAUUUACUGGGUGUAAUGGGAGCGUAGUCGGUUUUGUAAGUCAGUAGUGAAAGCCGUGGGCUCAACUUCGAGACUGCUGUUAAAACUGUGGGACUGGAGUGCAGGAGAGGUAAGCGGAAUGCCUGGUGUAGCGGUGAAAUGCGUAGAUAUCAGGAGGAACACCAGUGGCGAAGGCAGCUUACUGGACUGUAACUGACGUUGAGGCUCGAAAGCGUGGGGAGCAAACAGGAUUAGAUACCCGUGUAGUC